rnacentral:lncRNA from 1 species
GUCCACUUAAUGGAGUGCGUUGACAGAAUCAUUAUCACAAGCACUGUACCAUCUCUCAUAGAUAAUAUUGUCUCCUCACUCGCUAAAAGGUUCUCAAUUCAAGACUUUGGUUCCGUUAACCAUAUUAUGAGAGUUGAAGUUCCAUGACGGGUUGGUGAAAUCAUUCACUCCCAAUCAAGCUAUGUCAUGGACCUACUACCUGAAGAAAACAUGGAUAAAUGCACCCAACCAAAACACCUAGGAGCAACAUGGAGAUUUUUUGAACUGAUGAUGGUACACCCCCAACCGAUGCAACUCGUUUUGAUCGUGUAAUUGGUAAACUUCAAUACAUAUUGUAAUACCUAAUUUUAACCCGGGCCCAAAACCAUAAAUACAUAAACACCAAAUUAAAACAAAUUAUAAGUGUCCAGUCCAUUUACAAACCCAAACCCAAUUCGGUCCAAAUUAUGUGGCCCAAAUUACAAUUAACCCCAGUCCAAAUUCCAGACCCAAAAUCUGACCCAACUCAACUAACCCAAAUACCCACUAAACCCAAUUAAACCCUAGCCCAAUUUGAGAUGGCCUAAAUUCAAGUUUCCAGAAACCCUAGGGGUUUUUGGAACAGUCGGCGCCGCUGAACGCGGAAACCAGGCCCUCCACGCAUGCGCUUCCUCCCUUCCACGGCCUCUGCACCUGCGAAUAAAGUGGAGCCAAGCAGUGAAUAUACCAAUACAGCGCAACAAUAACAGAAAUAUAGGAAAUAGUUGCGGAAAGAUAACAAAAAUGUAAAAAAGAGUUCUCGAGAAUUACGUUUUCUUUCUGUUUCGGCUAUAAGAGGACCCGAUUAAAUUUGUAAAAGGGGGGAUUCCCGAAUGAAUGAAAAAAAAAGAGAAAAGAAUACAGAUAUUAAGAAAGGAAAUUGAAUAGCAGUUUUGGAAAAGAAGUGAUUUUCUGAUUGUUUUUUCUUUUCUUUGUUUUUUUUUUCCUUUUUUGCAAAACAAAAAGAGCAAAAGGGGAUAUACUUACCUGCGCGGAGGCGACGACGGAGCCCUAUUUGCUCCGUCCAGGUCGGAGCUAGAUGGGGCUUCGAAUUGUUUGAGGCGGCAGACAAGAGAAUGGGCCAUGGGGCUGCUGUUGUUUCAGAAGAAAAGGGAAAUGGCUUAGGGUUUCCUGAUUCAGGGUUUAAAAUAGCAUUUAUAGGUGCUCGAAACGGCACCGUUUAGGGCCAGAUUCAGUGGCUCCAAAACGGUGCCGUACAGGCCGUUGACCCGAGAUCCGACCCGAACCAAGGCCAGAUCCGCGCGUUUCAUCCUAGUGGGCUAUUUUUGCUUUUAAUCCUACUAAUUUGUUCCAUUGUUUUAAUUUGGUUUUUCUUUAUUUUCUGAAUUUGC